AAAACAAUAUAAUUUCCCCCCCCAAAAAAUCAUCCAAUCUAUCUCAGUAUUUGUAUUAUUCAUUGUAUGCCGUCUUUUUUGCUCAUCUUCAUCAAGAGUGCAGAUCAUUUCGGAUAUGACUCUACAUCUGGAUCGACCCAUCUGCUUGAUAUACGUUAUCCUAGCAAGAAAGCCAAACACCCCUCUCAGGAUGUUUGAGAAUGGUAUGUUCAAGUGUAAUUGUUGUCAUGUAGUCAACAGAAGCUGUCUCUUAGAUCGGAUCAAUUUUCUGCACAGGGCUGCUCAGAUUCUGUCAUUUUUAACAUGAUAUGAGACGUGUGAUGAUGAAUUAUCCCCCGGAGGAAGAACUAGUGCUGAAUGUUCUAGAAACUCUGUCCAUCACCAUAAUGUAUCAAGGAGAGCUCCUGGUGUUGUAGGAGCACUGAGAAUGAACGAGAAUGUCUGUCAUUCUGUGGGAAAAGGAAAUGCUUGGCAUGCUAGGGCAAGAUGUGUGUGUGUUGUCCUCCUUUUCAGUAUGUCUGUAUGUUCUCAGAGAGGGGAUGCUAGUCCAUCUGUGGUAAGAGAUGCAUUGAGAUGUGGUGGAUAUCUGUACCAGACACUGCUAUCACCACACACACACACACACACACACACACACACACACACACACACACACACACACAAAGGACAGAGCUCUGUAACAAAGGAAGGCUGACAAAGAGGAAGUGCAUACAUUAUUCUCUAGCUUAUCUAGCAUGCUAUGUUCUUUUUAUACCCUCUGGUAAAGUAGUCUCUCUUAUUUUUUAUUUAACCUUUAUUUAACUAGGCAAGUCAGUUAAUAACAAAUUAUUAUUUACAAUUUCCUGGCCUACACCGGCCAAACCCGGACAAUGCUGGGCCAAUUGUGCACCGCCCUAUGGGACUCCCAAUCACGGCCGGUUGUGAUACAGCCUUGAUUCAAACCUGGAUGUCUGUAGUGACGCCUCUAGCACUGAGAUGCAGUGCCUUAGACCACUGCGCCAGGUGAAAACUGUGCCCAUUUGUGUUCACGUAACUUUAUCCAACAGAUGCCUUUGGUUGGGGCACCAUGCCAGAUUAUUUUGUCAUUCAACAACACUACUUAUUGUUGCCAAGACAAGACAGACACUUUGACUAAAAUAGAUACAGACUGGCACCGGUAGGAGAAUAUUGAUUUUCAGCCUUGCUCUUCUCUUGGUCAGAUGACAGUGGUUUAGUAUGAAGAUAUGCAGAAACUGCUUCUCCAAUAGAAAUCUCUGGUCACGCUUGUAGGCGAUGUCAUGGCAAUAGUUGGCUAGCUAAACUCAUGCAGAGAAACACGUCACCAGGUCCAACGGUCGUCUUGCACCUAACUGCACAUGCGCAGACCAUCAAAUCAAAGGAACUCCUUCGAUAUAAAGCAGUUUUUUACGAUUGCUUACACACUAAAAAUGAACUUUUCCCAACAAUUAGCAAAACCUUACACUCAAGGAGCAAAACACAAGGCUAGAUUUGCACAACUGUACGCACAUUGUCAGCUUCACACUAUUUGCAAAACAUUACACACAGUGAUUUGUAAAACACUAAACACACUUGUAUACAUCAGACACAGAAGUAUAUCAUGAUGUCACUUCCUUGCAAUUCCAAAGCACUGACUGUCAAAUUACCACACCUAUGAGCCAAUCUGUUAAACACAGCCAUCAGGUGCACAAACACAUGACUGCUAAAUUGUAGACACACCAGUCAGGUUUAAGCACUAUACAAAUGCAGCAGGUAGGUUCACCUGCCUUCAACCAAAAUGGAAGGAGUCAGAAGAAGAGUGAGGGUGAGAGGAGGAGUACGGAGAAGGAGGUAGAGGUAGAGGAAGAGGCCGAGCCAGAGGUCGAGGAAGACCUGAAGCAGGAGGAGAACGUGUACAAAGAAGAAGAGGACCAAACUUAUCAAAUGACACUCGUGCAACACUAGUGGACCAUGUUGUGAACCACGGAUUGACGCUGAGGGAGGAUGGACUGAGAGUUCAGCCAAAUCUUAGCAUAAGGACUUUUCGACAGGAAAACAGGAUUGAGGGUCGGGAACGACAAGGAAGAAGGGGGACCAUAUUCACGCAAGAACAAGAGAGAGAUAAUAAACAUGGUUUUGGCCAAUAAUGCUAUCAGGCUCAGAGAACUACAAGACAACAUUAUCGGUGACCAUGCCAUUUUCAAUAAUGUCCAUCAGGUCUCUCAGUCAACACUGGCACGCAUCCUGAAAAGGCAUCAGGUUCAAAUGAAACAACUUUAUCGAGUGCCUUUUGAGCGGAGUUCAGAGAGGGUCAAACGGCUGUGGCAUGAGUAUGUGGAGGGAGUUUUGCAGAUGGAUGCUGAGGAAAUCCUGCAUGAAUUCAUAUAUAUUGAUGAGGCAGGGUUCAACCUCACAAAAGCAAGAAGGAGAGACAGAAAUAUCAUUGGCCACAGAGCUAUAAUCAAUGUCCCAGGGCAACGUGGGGGUAACAUCACCCUUUGCGCUGCCAUUUCACAGCAUGGGGUUGUCCUCCGUCAUGCCAAAAUGAGCCCUUACAACACACCUCACAUUCUCGCAUUUUUGGACCGACUGCACCACAUCGUCACAGCAGGUAAUGAAAUGCACCAGAUGCAAUACACGGUCAUCUGGGACCAUGUCAUUCCACCGCUCUGCUUUGGUCCAGAACUGGUUUCAACACCAUCCAUAGUUGACAGUACUAUACCUUCCACCAUACUCUCCGUUUCUAAACCCUGUCGAAGAGUUGUUCUCUGCAUGGCGGUGGAAGGUUUACGAUCUCCAGCCCCGGGCUCAGGUACCCCUCAUUCAGGCCAUGGAGGACGCUUGUGACCAAGUCGACGCCGCAGCAGUGCAAGGAUGGAUUCGACAUUCAAGUCGGCUCUUCCCGCGUUGUCUUGCUUUUGACGAUAUUGCUUGUGAUGUUGAUGAAAUUCUCUGGCCAGAUCCAGCUAGGCGAAGAGAUAAUGUAUAGUAUGUUUACUGUAGUAUUUUCUGUACAAUAUUUCUUUCUUUUUUUCAGAUUAUUUUUUGUUUGUUAGUUACUGUAAUUGUAACCUGUACUGGAUACAGUAGUUUACGUUUGUC
ensembl:lncRNA